rnacentral:rRNA from 1 species
UGUGGAAGUGCAGUAAUGCACGUAGCUAACCAGUACUAAUUGCCCGUGCGGCUUGAUCCUAUAACCUUGUAGGUUA